rnacentral:rRNA from 1 species
GAUGAACGCUGGCGGCGUGCCUAAUACAUGCAAGUCGAGCGAACAGACGAGGAUCUUGCUCCUCUUACGUUAGCGGCGGACGGGUGAGUAACACGUGGAUAACCUACCUAUAAGACUGGGAUAACUUCGGGAAACCGGAUCUAAUACCGGAUAAUAUAUUGAACCGCAUGGUUCAUUAGUGAAAGACGGUUUUGCUGUCACUUAUAGAUGGAUCCGCGGCGCAUUAGCUAGUUGGUAAGGUAACGGCUUACCAAGGCGACGAUGCGUAGCCGAACUGAGAGGGGGGAUCGGCCACACGGAAACGAGGAAACGGCCCAGCUCCGUAGGGAGGGCAGAGGUGGGAAAAUUGCAGAAUUGGGGGAAGGCUGAACGAGGCAAGGCGGGGGGGGGAAUGAGGGUUUCGGAUUGGAAAACCCCUGUAAUUGGGAAGAAGCAAAGGUGGAUGAAACUUUGCUGUUUUGGAGGUUCCCAAAGAAGAAGGCCCGGCUAAACUCGUU